rnacentral:rRNA from 1 species
UACGGAGGAUCCAAGCGUUAUCCGGAUUUAUUGGGUUUAAAGGGUGCGUAGGCGGCCUGUUAAGUCAGGGGUGAAAGACGGUAGCUUAACUAUCGCAGUGCCCUUGAUACUGAUGGGCUUGAAUGUACUUGAGGUAGGCGGAAUGUGACAAGUAGCGGUGAAAUGCAUAGAUAUGUCACAGAACACCAAUUGCGAAGGCAGCUUACUAAAGUAUGAUUGACGCUGGGGCACGAAAGCGUGGGGAUCAAACAGG